GAAACAUCUCUAGCGGAACAUCAAAGAUGUCUUCUACUUCAGCUGGAUUUGGUAGCUGGUUAAAUGCAUUCUUGUCGUGUAGAAAACCGAUAACUGGUACAACUGACAUUCCCUUCUGCAAACACCCUCGAGGAGACUGACAGUUUAAUAGCCAAGUAACUUGAAUUUAUAUGUUUUGAUUCAGUUUUUUUACCUUGUUAACAAAUGGUUGAAGAACAGAAAUGAUUGUAACAAGAGAAGGAUCUAAACCGAUUUCUUCACGAGCUUCUCUCAACGCGGUAGCUAUAUCAUCUGCAUCUUCUUCGUCUCUUUUCCCUCCAGGCAAUGCUACUUCUCCUACAACCGUUUUCAUACGUUAAGAUUAAAGAAGAUGAGAUCUUUUUUUUAAUGAGACAGAUUUUGAUCUUACCAGGAUGAGAAGAGAGAGUAGAGGAGCGUUUGGUUAAGAUCACACGUAGGUCCUUUCCAUCUUUUCCUUGUUCUUGGUAUAUACAAACUAAGACAGCUGAAGAUUUUGCAGGAAAAUGUUGAAGAAGAUGAUGAGAUUUGUAGUUUUGAAACCGUUGGAUUAGAAAUUGCAAAGGAUCUGUUGGUGUUGAGGACAUAUUGGAACACAGAGUUAAACACUUUGAGAACUAUGUUUCUUGUUCUCUUGUGUUCUUCAGAU
rnacentral:lncRNA from 1 species